rnacentral:rRNA from 1 species
UACGGAGGGGGCUAGCGUUGUUCGGAAUUACUGGGCGUAAAGCGCACGUAGGCGGCUUUGUAAGUUAGAGGUGAAAGCCCGGAGCUCAAUUCCGGAAUUGCCUUUAAGACUGCAUCGCUCGAAUCAUGGAGAGGUGAGUGGAAUUCCGAGUGUAGAGGUGAAAUUCGUAGAUAUUCGGAAGAACACCAGUGGCGAAGGCGACUCACUGGACAUGUAUUGACGCUGAGGUGCGAAAGCGUGGGGAGCAAACAGG